rnacentral:rRNA from 1 species
GCUUAGCCGUAAACACAGAUAUAUUAACACAGUAUUAUCCGCCAGAGAACUACAAGCGAAAAGCUAGAAACUCCAAGGACUUGGCGGUGCUUCAAAUCAACCUAGAGGAGCCUGUCCUAUAAUCGAUACCCCGCGUUCAACCUUACCCCCCCUGGCCAACCAGCCUAUAUACCGCCGUCGCCAGCUUACCUUGUGAAAGAGACAAAGUAAGCAAAAUAAUUAAUAAUUAAAACGUCAGGUCAAGGUGUAGCACAUGGGGGGGACAGAGAUGGGCUACAUUUUCAAAACGAACAUACGAAUAAUAUGCUGAAACACAUGUUUAAAGGUGGAUUUAGUAGUAAAAUAGAAAAGAAAAAUAUUUUGAAACCUGCUCUGAAGCGCGC